CAGAGAACAGGACAACCACACAACAUGAUUCAGUAGUCAUGUGAUGAUUUAUUUAUGCUUGGAAGGCAUGCGCUGAAGACAACUCCCUCAUGAAUGCUUGCCUGGAGAUGUGAAGAACCACACCCACCAGCUUGAAGCUCAGUCACAUGAAGAGGAGCAGUCAUUGGAGUACUUACGUCUGGAUCUUUGAAGGAAGAACAUUCAUAGCUGGAGAGACUAUGAAAUGAUCUCUAAAGAAAUGAUAGAGGCAAUAGAUUGACAGAAAACAUCUGUGUCUCCAAGACUGAAUGCCUGAUUCUACAUCAACUGGCUCCUUGUUCAGUGGCUUCCAGUAGCAUCUGUUUAGCUCAGCAGUCGGCCUCCCCAUGCCUUUCUUCCUCAUAUCUGUAUGCUCACAUUUCCUCUCUUUGCUGUCAUUGCAGGAGCAUUCCUAAAAACCUGUCAUCUCAUCCACUUCCUCCUUACAAAUCUUCAGAACUUACCAGGUCUGAUCCAGACUUCUUAGUGUGCUAACGAAGCUCUUCCUCAGCUGGUCCCAGCCUCAUUGCCUGGCCUUUCCUUACAAAGGCUGAGGAAUUUAACAGUCAUCUGUGUCAGCUAUCAACCACGGUGUAACAAACCACUUCCAAACUUACAGCCUUCAGAGUCUGAUUUCCUAUUCCCCAGCAUUCUCUGCAUGUCUGGCCGGUUUCUGUUCUCCGUUGAUGUUACUCACGUGGCUGCCUUUGACUGUAGCCGGACUGGACUCUGAGUCCAUCAAGGCUUCUCGAACAUCCCUGGGUCUUUGUUCUGUCAUCUGGAAGCUUCAGCGCCCUUCCAUGUGGGCCACCCUCCAUGCAGUGUCUCAUCCUCUGGGUCUUCUCCACGUGGCCUCUGUCUCCUUCAGAACAGCGUGGAUCGCCUUACAAAUACUGGACUCAAAAGCGGUCAAAGCUGAAGAAAAUAGAAGUCCAUAGCACACACAGUGAACUUGUGCCAGGCUCUAUCGGCCAAAGCAAGUCCCAGACACUUAGUCUUUUGAAGGGAGUCAUAUAAGGGAAGCUGGAACCAUCUCAUUUCUUCAGCAUAGGUCCCCUUUCCUUACUCUUCCCAGCCCUCCCCACAGAGCUGUCCUUAGUACAAGAGUAUUACAGCCUUUGAGGAGAAGGCUGCAGGGCUAGACUUCCUGAGGUUUUCUUUAAUUUUAUUAAUUUUUAAUGUUAGCUUUGAAGGUUUC